AGCACGGAUUCAACCAACCGCAGAUCCAUAAAAAUUCUAUCCUUGAUUAGUGAAAUCCUCGAAUUUGGAACCCACAGAUAGGGAAGGCCAACAGUAAUGCCCAUGGUGGAAGGAAGGGAAUUCUUUACUUAAUCAAGGCAGGGAUCCAUGUACCAGAAAUGGAAAACAAGUUGGUUGAAUUGAUCCUAUUAAUACAAGUAAUACUGUGGCAUCAGGACAGCAGAGGUGGAAGUGGGCUCCACUGUAUAAAGUGGGCAGAGGAAGCCUAAGGUGGGAUGAUGGUGAGAGGGGCAUGCUGGGAACCAGUGAUGGAUGCUGAGGCCAACACCCGUGUGACAUCCAUGCUGGGGGACAGAGACAGAAAAGUAGAGGCUGAGGGUGGGAAGAGCCAUGAUCUGAUGGACAGAUGGGAUCUGGGUGACAGCUGUCCCUGAAGACAAAAGGAAAGGUGCACUUAAGGAGAAGGGGGAUGAUUGUCAAUAGCAAAUACUUCAGCCAAGUCAAGGCAGAUGAAAAGCUGAGAAAAGUCCUAUGACUAAGAAUUACUGGUUAUCUGCUUAAAAAUCUGAACUCCAUUACACUUUUUUUCUAACAUCUCCCCCGUUUCCCCCGCUACAAGUGCAGGCUGUCUUUCCACACCCAUGUUGCGUUUCUGAAGCUCAGUGCGGGUCACUCAAAGGCAGUGCCCUGCCAAGCCUCUCAGUGAAUCAGGAAAUACCACAACUCUGGCUCCUGGUUUCCCACACUCGCUGCCACUAAGCAUUGCAGGAUACGAUGGCAACGUUGUUGGUGAAAUUUUAAGGUCUUAUCCUAGAUUAUUUUGGAAAUGAACCAUGCUAGAAGGCUUGAAGAUAUGGAAGAACAAAAGGAUAAACACCAAAGGGAGAUUCCAGAGAAGGGUGAAGGUGAUGAGGUAGAAAACUCAUGUGUGGGGAUAAGUCUAGACAAGAUGAGAGCUGCGACCUUUGCUGAGAUGACA
rnacentral:lncRNA from 10 species